rnacentral:lncRNA from 1 species
AGAGGAAGUAAACGCACCUGAAGUCAGGAAGUUGGCCACCAAGGUUUACAGACUCAGCCAAUGGAAAGAUAGAUUACAGUUCACUGAAAACUCCCCUUGGAAAAUGGAGACCCAGCCUCUAUCAAGACAGCUACAAGCUCUGAAGGACUGACAAAGAAGCAUUCGCUGCAACGGAGAGAUGGCAAAUCAGAAUGCUUCUGAAAGGGCUUUGCUUUAGAGAUAGCUUUCAGAUUAGAUACUGCCACAAACAGAGCCUUAGUGACCAGGAGUGUGUUAAAAAUGUAGGAUGGGGAUGAAAACAUAAAUUG